AUGGGCGAUCUGAAGGAGAUGAAGUACAGGCGGAGGAUUGGGCUCCAGGAGCGCGCGCAAUGCAGCGACCAGAGGGCCGUCGACUGGGGCGUGCUCAAGCAGGACCCCGUGGAGCUGCUGCGCAAGCUGGACGAGCUGAGGGACCAAAUCACGCGGUCCUGCCAGGUCGCCGAGCAGCCACGGGAGCACCGUCGGGUGGGCCGCCGACCGCCCUCCUUGCUCCCCGACCUUCCCGAGCCGGUACCUCUACCCGGUUAUCACCGCCCACGCUAUGGUGCCCGGUAUGGGCAUGGCUUGCCGCUGAGCCCAUGUGAGCCGCAGCACUCUGAUCAUGGGGAGAGGUACGCGAGGCAGUCAAGUGGGCGGUAUCGCCAGUACCCAGGGAGGCAGUGGGACAACGGUGGGAUUGGACAUGGGAAUUACCAUCAGUAUGCGUGUGCUAGUCCGCAUUAUCUGCAUGGACAGAGGCCUGCGCCACAAGAAGAGCACAUACCGAUGGCCAGAUACUUCGCUGGGCAGCAUGAAUGCUACCGAUUUGAAAGGUCACCAUCUAUUUCAUCAGAUUAUGACCAAAGGUCUGUGGCAUCAUCGCUUUACUCGCAUCGCUCGGUAUCAAAGAAAAGGGCUGAGUAUUUUAGGAAGAAGGCAGAACAUCUCUGCCGGCCAAUGCAUGGCGCUGCGCCAUUUGUUGUUUGCAGUUCUUGUUAUAAUCUCUUGCAGCUGCCAAUGGAAAAAUGCAUGGGGUGGAAACAAAACAGGCUACAGUGUGGGUCUUGCUCUGAGAUAAUCAGUGUGAAGCGCAUGAAAGGAAAGGCUAUUCCCUACACAUCCUCACCGUCCUUCAGUUUGUCCAAAACUGAGCAAAGCUCACAUGAUCGAAUGAGACGAGAUUUUGAGCAUCAGCAUCAUGAUGAUGUCACUUCUGCGUUUUAUAAUUUGAAUGAGCACAGCAGCAUGCAAAUCAACAUAGAUUUUGGUGAUGAUAAUUCAGUUUCUUCCACCAUUAGUCAUGAAAGGACUGACAGAGAAUGUGGCUCAAACAGGAGCAUUCAAUCAAAAGCAGAUGGUAUCUCUCUGUCUCCAGGCAGGUCUGGAGAUAUUGAAAGCCCAAAGGAUAUAUUAUGUGAAAGAGAUGCAGAUUGUCAGGAGGAACAUUCAGUAGAUGGUCCAGUCAGCCCGUGUUCCCCAAUUUUAGAGGACAAACUUGUUGAUCCACUGUGCAGCCAAGAAAAACACAAUAGUUCAGAGGACUUAGGUAUGGAUAAUGGAUCUGACCUAAAUUGCAAAGGAGAAUACAAUGUUAAUGAUGAUGAGAGUGUCAGCAUGGGAAGUGAACAAAAGGUCAAUGAAGCUGAACUUGUAGAGGAAAGUAUGUGCAGAAAGCAUGAUCAAAAGAACAAGGAAGAUCACUGUUCUAGCCUUGAAGAUGUUAGCAAAAUGCAUGGGCAGAAUAGUACAAAAGUUGACCCUGAUAGUCUUGAGAAUGGAAAUGAAAAGCAUGAGUGGACAAGCAAAACCGAUGUCACAAGCAGUCCUGAAAGUGAAGGUAAAUGCAAGAAAUAUGACCAUAACAGCAAGGAAGAUGAAACAAGCGGUCUGAAAGUUGAGAACACAAGUAAUGAGUUUGACAAGAAGAACACAGCGGACAGCAGCAGUGCCCUCGAACAUGCGAACACUGCCAUUGAAUUUGAAGGUACAAGCACAAGUGAGAGAUAUGAAGAAAACCUAAUGGAACAAGAUAAUGGAAAAUUGCAUGAGCCAUGUGCUGAGGAUGCCAAUGCCCUAACGGAGAGUGGGUCAUCAGUUAAUGGGCGCACAAAUUCUGGUUUUUCUCAUGGUUCUUCUGAGGCUGGUUUAGAUGAAGAUCAAUCCUCAACUGGUAAGAGUGGGGAUUCAUCAUUUUUUGCUGGUUUCUUGAAGAAGGGAUUCAAGGACCUUUCUUUAUUUAACCAGUCCAUGGAUAGUGUUAAGGUUUCAAUCAAUGGCCAUCCAAUCUCUGAAAGAGCUCUUAAGAAGGCAGAAAAGAAAGCUGGUCCUGUUGAACCUGGCUCAUACUGGUAUGACUGCCGUGCUGGAUUUUGGGGCAUCAUGGGUAGAGAAUGUAUUGGCAUUAUUCCUCCAUAUAUAAGAGAAUUCAAUUAUCCAAUGCCCAGAAAUUGUGCUGGUGGAGACACUGAUGUCAUUGUCAAUGGCAGAGAACUUCAUCAGAGAGAUUUAGAUUUGCUUGUAGGAAGAGGACUUCCACGUAUCUCUGGCAAAUCAUAUUCCAUUGAGAUUUCUGGAAAUAUUACCGAUGAUGCUGGAAAUAAGCUACGCAGUCUUGGCAAACUUGCUCCCACAAUUGAGAAGCUGAAGCGUGGUUUUGGUAUGCACGUUCCUGAAGGGUUUAGGUAG
rnacentral:rRNA from 1 species